rnacentral:rRNA from 1 species
CCUACGGGGUGCAGCAGUGGGGAAUAUUGGACAAUGGGCGAAAGCCUGAUCCAGCAAUGCCGCGUGUGUGAAGAAGGUCUUCGGAUUGUAAAGCACUUUCAGUAGGGAGGAAGGUAGUGUAGUUAACACCUGCAUUAUUUGACGUUACCUACAGAAGAAGCACCGGCUAACUCUGUGCCAGCAGCCGCGGUAAUACAGAGGAUGCAAGCGUUAUCCGGAAUGAUUGGGCGUAAAGCGUCUGUAGGUGGCUUUUUAAGUCCGCCGUCAAAUCCCAGGGCUCAACCCUGGACAGGCGGUGGAAACUACCAAGCUGAGUACGGUAGGGGCAGAGGGAAUUUCCGGUGGAGCGGUGAAAUGCGUAGAGAUCGGAAAGAACACCAACGGCGAAAGCACUCUGCUGGGCCGACACUGACACUGAGAGACGAAAGCUAGGGGAGCGAAUGGGAUUAGAUACCCCUGUAGUC